UACGAGAGGCCCAAACGUUAUUCGGAUUUACUGGGCUUAAAGAGUUCGUAGGCGGCGCGGAAAGUAGGGUGUGAAAGCCCUCGGCUCAACCGAGGAAUUGCGCUCUAAACUGUCGCGCUCGAGGAACCUAGAGGUGAGCGGAACUGAUGGUGGAGCGGUGAAAUGCGUUGAUAUCAUCAGGAACACCGGAGGCGAAGGCGGCUCACUGGGGGGUUAUCUGACGCUGAGGAACGGAAAGCCAGGGGAGCAAACGGG
rnacentral:rRNA from 1 species